rnacentral:misc_RNA from 1 species
GAUGAAGAACGUAGCGAAAUGCGAUAAGUAAUGUGAAUUGCAGAAUUCAGUGAAUCAUCGAAUCUUUGAACGCAUCUUGCGCUCCUUGGUAUUCCGAGGAGCAUGCCUGUUUGAGUGUCAUUAAAUUCUCAACUCUCCUAUACUUUGUUGUAAAGGAGGGCUUGGAUUGUGGAGGCUUGCUGGCCGCUUGAUGUGGUCAGCUCCUCUGAAAUGCAUUAGCAGAACUGUUUGCGAUCUGCCACAAGUUUGAUAAAUUAUCUACACUGGCGAGGGGAUUGCUCUCUGUGUUCAGCUUCUAAUCGUCUUCAGUGACAAUUUCUUGAAUGCUUGACCUCAAAUCAGGUAGGACUACCCGCUGAACUUAAGCAUAUCAAUAAGCGGAGGA